rnacentral:rRNA from 1 species
AGUCACUGACAUUAGAUACCCGUGUAGUCCAGGGUGUAAACGCUGCAGACUUGGUGUUGGAGGCCCUUUGGGGGCAUUCAGUGCCGGAGAGAAGUUGUUAAGUCUGCUACUUGGGGAGUACGUCCGCAAGGAUGAAACUUAAAGGAAUUGGCGGGGGAGCACCGCAACGGGAGGAGCGUGCGGUUUAAUUGGAUUCAACACCGUAAACUCACCAGGGAAGACUGUUACAUGAAAGCCGAGAUGAAGACUCUGCUAGAUUUUCAG